AUUGAACGCUGGCGGCAUGCCUUACACAUGCAAGUCGAACGGCAGCACGGGAGCAAUCCUGGUGGCGAGUGGCGAACGGGUGAGUAAUAUAUCGGAACGUGCCCAGUCGUGGGGGGAUAACGUAGAGAAAUUUACGCUAAUACCGCAUACGAUCUAUGGAUGAAAGCGGGGGAUCGCAAGACCUCGCGCGAUUGGAGCGGCCGAUAUCAGAUUAGGUAGUUGGUGAGGUAAAGGCUCACCAAGCCGACGAUCUGUAGCUGGUCUGAGAGGACGACCAGCCACACUGGGACUGAGACACGGCCCAGACUCCUACGGGAGGCAGCAGUGGGGAAUUUUGGACAAUGGGCGCAAGCCUGAUCCAGCAAUGCCGCGUGCAGGAUGAAGGCCUUCGGGUUGUAAACUGCUUUUGUACGGAACGAAACGGUGAGCUCUAAUACAGUUUGCUAAUGACGGUACCGUAAGAAUAAGCACCGGCUAACUACGUG
rnacentral:rRNA from 1 species